UUUAGGUGGUAAAAAGAAAAAGUAGAAGAACAAUUUGUGAGAAGGACGUCGGGGCUGGAAGUUUUUGUCAAGUCAAAUCAAACCUAAUGUUUAAGGAUAACCUGGAAUCAUGUAACUUAUAUACUGCGCUUAUAGUGUUAUGUUCAACUUAUUGUUUAUGGGAAAAUAUAUACUCGACAUUACGUG